rnacentral:rRNA from 1 species
UGGGGAAUAUUGGACAAUGGGCGAAAGCCUGAUCCAGCCAUGCCGCGCGUGUGAAGAAGGUCUUCGGAUUGUAAAGCACUUUAAGUUGGGAGGAAGGGCAGUAAGCGAAUACCUUGCUGUUUUGACGUUACCGACAGAAUAAGCACUGGCUAACUCUGUGCCAGCAGCCGCGGUAAUACAGAGGGUGCAAGCGUUAAUCGGAAUUACUGGGCGUAAAGCGCGCGUAGGUGGUUCGUUAAGUUGAAUGUGAAAGCCCCGGGCUCAACCUCGGAACUGCAUCCAAAACUGGCGAGCUAGAGUAGGGCAGAGGGUGGUGGAAUUUCCUGUGUAGCGGUGAAAUGCGUAGAUAUAGGGAGGAACACCAGUGGCGAAGGCGACCACCUGGGCUCAUACUGACACUGAGGUGCGAAAGCGUGAGGAGCAAACAGG